rnacentral:rRNA from 1 species
AGAGAGAGACAUGCGCGCAUAUCAAUAAGCGGAGGAAAAGAAACUAACAAGGAUUCCCCUAGUAACGGCGAGUGAAGCGGGAAGAGCUCAAAUUUGAAAUCUUAAAGGGUUUCCCUUUACGAAUUGUAGUUUAAAGAAGUGUUUUCUGUUGAGGUUUUGGUAAAAGUUCUUUGGAAUAGGACAUCAUAGAGGGUGAGAAUCCCGUAUUUGACCUUUACUUUCAACUUUGUGAUACACUUUCAAAGAGUCGGAUUGUUUGGGAAUGCAGUCCAAAAUGGGAUGGUAAAUUUCAUCUAAAGCUAAAUAUUGGCGAGAGACCGAUAGCGAACAAGUACCGUGAGGGAAAGAUGAAAAGAACUUUGAAAAGAGAGUUAAACAGUACGUGAAAUUGUCAAAAGGGAAGCGUUUGACACCAGUGUUGUUUUUCUGAAAAUCAAUUAAAGAACUGUUUAUGCUAAGUUGUUUAGACUUUAUCAGCUAACUGUUUAGUUUUGAGCUUUUCUUUAAUGCACUUUUCAGUUAACAAGUCAACAUCAAUUUCUUUUGCUGUAAAAAAGCUUGAGGAAGGUGGCUUGAGAUUCGUCUUAAGUGUUUAUAGCCUCUUGCCUAUGCAGUCGGAGAGAUUGAGGUCUGCAGCGUAGAUCCUUCGGGGCUAAAUGCAUUUGUGCUAAGUUAUAGCAUUUUAUAGACAACUUGUUGACUAUGAUUUGUCUUGUAGCUUACUCGCUUAUGUUAUUUUACCUACGCUUAGGAUGUUGAGCGCAUGUCUCUCUCU